rnacentral:rRNA from 1 species
GUGUCAGCCGCCGCGGUAAUACAGAGGGUGCGAGCGUUAAUCGGAUUUACUGGGCGUAAAGCGUGCGUAGGCGGCUUUUUAAGUCGGAUGUGAAAUCCCCGAGCUUAACUUGGGAAUUGCAUUCGAUACUGGGAAGCUAGAGUAUGGGAGAGGAUGGUAGAAUUCCAGGUGUAGCGGUGAAAUGCGUAGAGAUCUGGAGGAAUACCGAUGGCGAAGGCAGCCAUCUGGCCUAAUACUGACGCUGAGGUACGAAAGCAUGGGGAGCAAACAGGAUUAGAUACCCUGGUAGUCCAUGCCGUAAACGAUGUCUACUAGCCGUUGGGGCCUUUGAGGCUUUAGUGGCGCAGCUAACGCGAUAAGUAGACCGCCUGGGGAGUACGGUCGCAAGACUAAAACUCAAAUGAAUUGACGGGGGCCCGCACAAGCGGUGGAGCAUGUGGUUUAAUUCGAUGCAACGCGAAGAACCUUACCUGGCCUUGACAUACUAGAAACUUUCCAGAGAUGGAUUGGUGCCUUCGGGAAUCUAGAUACAGGUGCUGCAUGGCUGUCGUCAGCUCGUGUCGUGAGAUGUUGGGUUAAGUCCCGCAACGAGCGCAACCCUUUUCCUUACUUGCCAGCAUUUCGGAUGGGAACUUUAAGGAUACUGCCAGUGACAAACUGGAGGAAGGCGGGGACGACGUCAAGUCAUCAUGGCCCUUACGGCCAGGGCCACACACGUGCUACAAUGGUCGGUACAAAGGGUUGCUACACAGCGAUGUGAUGCUAAUCUCAAAAAGCCGAUCGUAGUCCGGAUUGGAGUCUGCAACUCGACUCCACGAAGUCGGAAUCGCUAGUAAUCGCGGAUCAGAAUGCCGCGGUGAAUACGUUCCCGGGCCUUGUACACACCGCCCGUC